rnacentral:rRNA from 1 species
UACGUAGGUGGCAAGCGUUGUCCGGAUUUACUGGGCGUAAAGGGCGCGCAGGCGGCCGCAUUUGUCAGGCGUGAAAGCCCCGGGCUUAACCUGGGAACUGCGUUUGAUACGGUGUGGCUAGAGUUCGGGAGAGGAGAGUGGAAUUCCCAGUGUAGAGGUGAAAUUCGUAGAGAUCCGGAGGAACACCAGCGGCGAAGGCGGCAUCCUGGACUGGUCCUGACACUCAGGAGCGAAAGCGUGGGGAGCGAUCCGG